UCUCGCUCUAAACAUUCGAUGUGCGAAAGUGAGAACAAGUCACGUAGACAGAGACAGCAGCCUUCACGAAUUUUCCAUGAUACAGCGCGCUUGGGUUGGCAUGUAUAAAUAGAACUGGCCGAACCAGACAUUGCCACUCGCAAAAAAAAAGUGUUCAAGUGUAGUCGCAGUGUCUCUGAAUAAAAAUUUAAAAAUUUGUACAAAAGUAUUCACUAUUUCUGGCUAGCAUAUAGUAAUCAUCAUCAAAAAUGGAAAAGUGUGGAAAACGUGUCGUAACAGCGAAGCAAAAGCCAUAUGCCAGCAUGGCGAAAACGCCAACGUAGUCUUGCUCGAUGUGGGCACAAUAUUUGCUCACAAAUUGAAACAAAGAAACACGCUGGAAAAGUGUAUUAGUCAUCGAUUUGACCGUCAGCUUCGGGGAAUUUCACAAUGCGGAAGCAGCUGGAAAGGCGCAGUUUCUCGUGUUUGGCUAGAAAGUAACUCUCUAGGCAGGAUGAGAAAAUAUCCAGGAGGUUCAGGAAACUCGAAACUGACACAGACGGGUGCAAUGGCGGCAGCCCAGACCUGCAGUGUACGUGGAUUUGAUAAAUUGGGAUAGGAAGCCAGUUGGGCGUUGAAAGUUGAUACGCAAACGCGUAGGCGAUCGAUCCAAGUAAAACUCUGUACCCUUCGCGAACCCUAGGCAGAUGAAGUGCUGAAAAUGCACUUCGGCCGAUGUACGCGUUUGGCGAAUGUUUUGGCUGCGGCCCUGACUCGGCCUCAGUGUUGGUUGUCGGGGGCCGCAGUCUAACAGGGUGCGUCGUUUCUAUCUGAUUGAUUGUGCGGAUUGUGUUAUAGGAACACCGGUGUAUCGACUUCUCUGCUCUACUAAGGGUGAACAAUACAAUGGGCCUUCUGUUGCUUACCUACCAUCGAACAAAUACCAAUGCCGGGCAGAUAUACGUAUAACUCGGUUCUGACAUCGAUCGAUUGAAUCUGCUCACACGUCGUCUUUGGAGUAGCAAUUCAACCAACAAGUCGAAAACAUUGGCAGUUGGUUGCAAGCAAUCUUUUCUGUGGCUAUACACUUUGUAGUGAACUCAAAGCGGAAACAGUUCCACAACAACAACGUGUUAAGUUCUUAAUUAUUUGAAAUUGUUUAACAUUUUUUUUGUUUUUGUACACUCUACGACUUUAUAAUUACUUAUACUGAUGUAAAAUUACUUGUCGAAACAAAACAAAGAAUAAGAAAAUGGAAAUGGAAAAAAUGCA